rnacentral:rRNA from 1 species
UCGGGAAUUUUGGGCAAUGGGCGAAAGCCUGACCCAGCAACGCCGCGUGAAGGAUGAAGUAUUUCGGUAUGUAAACUUCGAAAGAAUAGGAAGAAUAAAUGACGGUACUAUUUAUAAGGUCCGGCUAACUACGUGCCAGCAGCCGCGGUAAUACGUAGGGACCAAGCGUUGUUCGGAUUUACUGGGCGUAAAGGGCGCGUAGGCGGCAAUUCAAGUCAUCUGUGAAAUCUCCGGGCUUAACUCGGAACGGUCAGAUGAUACUGCUUUGCUAGAGUGCAGAAGGGGCAAUCGGAAUUCUUGGUGUAGCGGUGAAAUGCGUAGAUAUCAAGAGGAACACCUGAGGUGAAGACGGGUUGCUGGGCUGACACUGACGCUGAGGCGCGAAAGCCAGGGGAGCAAACGGGAUUAGAUACCCGUGUAGUCCCUGAGCGGGCUGGCAAGGCGCAU